AUGAACCGCUAUGGUAUGCCAUUCAUACCUUUUGUUGGUCUUAACAAUCACCGGAAGACCACUGUUUUUGGUUGUGCCAUAGUUUCGGACGAGACCGAGGAGACAUACGUGUGGCUUUUGCAGACGUUUUUGAGGUCCAUGUGUCAAAAGAUGCCUAAGAGUGUAAUCACAGACGCCGACGCUGCGAUGAUCAAGGCAAUUCGCAAAGUCUUGCCAGACGUGUGGCACCGUAUAUGUACGUGGCACAUAGAGAAAAAUAUGAAGAUUCACCUCAGUCACAAGUCCUUGAAGGAGUUUCGAACUCUUCUG
rnacentral:rRNA from 1 species